rnacentral:lncRNA from 1 species
GGCCGCGCGUGCCCCGCUCCUGGGCCGCGCUGGGCUGCGCCGCCCUCCGGGGCCGGGGCGCUGGCAGGCCGAGUGUCCCCAGGGGCCCUGGUGGCCGGGGGCGGGAUAGGGGCAGGUGACAAUUCAAUUAGGGCGACGGGGGGCGGGGAGGGGGUUGGGGGGGAAGGAGGGCAGAUGGCAUAAAUGCCAAGAGGCCGGUUCCUUCCUCCUCCCGGCGGCUUGGGUGCGCUCCCACGUCCGGCGCGCCUGGGGCGGUGGGGGCCGUGCUCCCUCCCGGUUGCUUCCUCCUGCCUCCUUUCAAACACGGGCCCUUCACUUAAAAAAUGUCCGAUAGGCUAGGGCACCAGGAAGGGUAAGUGUGUGCCUUGCGAGGAUUCUUGCUCUUAAAGAGGGGCCGGGGGAGCGCGGAGGGGCGCUUCCCGGCGGCCCUGGCUCCCCGCGCCCGCAUCUUCCCUCCCCGCCGCUAACCCCGUCCCUCGGCCCCUCUUGCUCCGUCCUCGCCUCCGCAGCACCUCGAUUUCUCGUAGGCGGGGGGCGGGGGGCGGGGGGGAUUCUUUCUGUCGGUGUUAUUCCGAAUUAACGAAAAGUUUAGUUUUCGUUUUUAAACGAAAGUAAAGCGUGGCCUCUCUGUCUCCCCAGCUCCUCUUGAACGCAGGAUGCGCGUCCGUCUGUCCGUCCUUCCGGGCCUGAGACGAGGUCGCCACGGACCCCCAGGACUAGUUGUAACUUUCGCCUUCCUCUCCCGCACUGACGUCACGGCCCCAGGAACAGUCCGACCUGCAGAGGAGGUCCAGUCGGCUUUGUUCCGGCUCCGGUGCACCAAGGCGCAGUGGCCGUGGGCCGCGGGACGGCGCGGCCAGGCCGGGCCCCGGACCGCGGAGGAUUGCGCCCCCGCCUCUGCCGUCGGCUUCCUCAGCGAGCGGCGUGAGACGGCAGCGACCACCUGCACACACGCACCGCUCCUCGUUCAGGCGUGUGCUGACUGGGUACCAGUCAUUCUGCUGGGCCUGAGGAUGAGGAGGGACUUUGGGGGGGGCCGCAGUCUGCGGGGGGAGGCGGGGGAACACGUGAGCUGGGAGGCAUGA